GAUGAACGCUGGCGGCGUGCCUAAUACAUGCCAGUCGAGCGAACAGACGAGGAGCUUGCUCCUCUGACGUUAGCGGCGGACGGGUGAGUAACACGUGGAUAACCUACCUAUAAGACUGGGAUAACUUCGGGAAACCGGAGCUAAUACCGGAUAAUAUAUUGAACCGCAUGGUUCAAUAGUGAAAGACGGUUUUGCUGUCACUUAUAGAUGGAUCCGCGCCGCAUUAGCUAGUUGGUAAGGUAACGGCUUACCAAGGCAACGAUGCGUAGGCGACCUGAGAGGGUGAUCGGCCACACUGGAACUGAGACACGGUCCAGACUCCUACGGGAGGCAGCAGUAGGGAAUCUGCCGCAAUGGGCGAAAGCCUGACGGAGCAACGCCGCGUGAGUGAUGAAGGUCUUCGGAGCGUAAAACUCUGUUAUGAGGGAAGAACAAAUGUGGAAGUAACUAUGCACGUCUUGACGGUACCUAAUCAGAAAGCCACGGCUAACUACGUG
rnacentral:rRNA from 1 species